UACGUAGGGUGCGAGCGUUAAUCGGAAUUACUGGGCGUAAAGCGUACGCAGGCGGUUUUGUAAGCCAGAUGUGAAAUCCCCGGGCUCAACCUGGGAAUGGCAUUUGGGACUGCAAGGCUGGAGUACGGCAGAGGAGACUGGAAUUCCUGGUGUAGCAGUGAAAUGCGUAGAGAUCAGGAGGAAUACCGAUGGCGAAGGCAGGUCUCUGGGCUGAUACUGACGCUCAUGCACGAAAGCGUGGGGAGCAAACAGG
rnacentral:rRNA from 1 species